UGGGCGGUAUACUCCCGACUCCUAUUCCAAUUUCAAAAACAAAGCGCAGGUUCCCUCCUUUUUAAGCCAGGACGUCGCGAGGGAAAGAGGGGGCAAGGCAAGAAUGGAGGGAGAAGACACGGGGACGAAAGGUGAAGCUUUGAAAUCUCAGAUUGCGAUCCGCUGUAUGAGAGCAAAUUUCCUUAUUUCAUCGCUGAAGUCUCUCCAGGCUUACCGCAAUGCGAGCACAAGAGACGACGGCGAGGAGGAAGAUAAAAGAGACCGGUUGCUGAGAACCAUUACAAAUCUGAAGAUAGAAUUGGCCAGAGAGCGAGAGAUGAACAGGCAGAUCAGGAUUUUCAGCUCGGUCGAGGCAUUUUUUUGUAUCCUGGUGCUGUUAUCGCUCUGGAGUUUCUGUUUGACGUUCGCAUUCGGAUCGGAAUGAAAUGCAACCUUUCUCCUUUUUUUUGUCUGGACCAACGAACUCGAUUUCGUAUUGCUCUCACAGCUUGGUUUCAUCUACCCUUCCUAUUAGGAGCUUUUCUACGGAAGAGGGACACUGAACAGUGGACUGCCAGUAAACUAGAAUUCAAUUUGUUAUUGCAAAACAAUAACAUUUUUGGAGAAAUUCCGAUGGAGCUCGAAAACCUUCCCACUGUUCUCCGGCAACAUUCCCAUGUCUUUGGGUCAACUCAACAAUUUGCCAUACCCGUGAGCUUUUUGAAUAAACACAGAGAGCUAUUAAUCUCUGUCUUUGUUGAAUUCAUGCUUCAUUCUC